AGGCCAUAGGAAAGUAACGUUUUGAUCCAGAAAGCAGUAACAAACUGAACAGUCAUGAAAAUGGUUGUUCCAGAAACAAAUUUGGGAUUGAUCAGUAGCUGAAGCAGAUAGAUACUGAAUCCAUCGUAUUGAGCAAGCAAUGGCAUGCUCCAAGUGCAAUGCCAUAAGACAUCUAAAACCCCAUGAAUUCUUCACUUUUGAAACCAACAAACCCAUGCUGGUGAGUUCAACAAGCUUGGGAUAAGAUUUGACAGGCAAAAAGCUUUACAUUACUCCUCAAAUUCCAUCAGUUCAAUAACAUGCAACUCCCAUCAGAUGACCCACAAAUGAAAGAUGUCUACAAUAGUGGAUGCUAAGGCCAUAAGAAAAUAAAAAUGAAUAAGAGAUCAGGGAACAAUAUAACGUUAAGGGUGAAAAAAACUGCAGUUUUAAAAAGUUUUGAAAGGAAAGGCCACACCUAGCACAAAAACAGGUCUCCUGUUAUAUGAAUUUAAACAAUGAUAAUAAUUUUGAUAUAAACUUCAAUAAACAAUUAAAACAUUUUUCGAUCAAAUUCAAGUAUGACCACAGUUUUGGGGCACGGAGUACAUACCCUUCUCAUCCCCUUCCUCAUCUGAAAUUUUGACGAAGGGAACAUUGUACCAUCUGUGAUUGGAAGGGAAAAUUAUGCGUAAUUCUGGCACCCACUAAG